rnacentral:rRNA from 1 species
UACGUAGGUGACCAGCGUUGUCCGGAUUUACUGGGCGUAAAGAGCGCGCAGGCGGUCGUUCAAGUCGAGUGUGAAAGCCCCCGGCUCAACUGGGGAGGGUCACUCGAUACUGAUCGACUUGAAGGCAGGAGAGGGAAGCGGAAUUCCCGGUGUAGUGGUGAAAUGCGUAGAUAUCGGGAGGAACACCAGUGGCGAAGGCGGCUUCCUGGCCUGUUCUUGACGCUGAGGCGCGAAAGCGUGGGGAGCGAACAGG